UACGUAGGGGGCAAGCGUUUGUCCGGAUUUAUUGGGCGUAAAGAGCGUGUAGGCGGCCAUACAGGUCCGUUGUGAAAACUGGAGGCUUAACCUCCAGACGUCGAUGGAAACCGUAUGGCUAGAGUCCGGAAGAGGAGAGUGGAAUUCCUGGUGUAGCGGUGAAAUGCGCAGAUAUCAGGAGGAACACCGGUGGCGAAGGCGGGUCUCUGGGCCGUAACUGACGCUGAGGAGCGAAAGCAUGGGGAGCGAACAGG
rnacentral:rRNA from 1 species